GAAAUGCGAUAAGUAAUGUGAAUUGCAGAAUUCAGUGAAUCAUCGAAUCUUUGAACGCACAUUCCGCCCGCCAGUAUUCUGGCGGGCAUGCCUGUUCGAGCGUCAUUACAACCCUCAGGCCCCCGGGCCUGGCGUUGGGGAUCGGCGGAAGCCCCCUGCGGGCACAACGCCGUCCCCCAAAUACAGUGGCGGUCCCGCCGCAGCUUCCAUUGCGUAGUAGCUAACACCUCGCAACUGGAGAGCGGCGCGGCCACGCCGUAAAACACCCAACUUCUGAAUGUUGACCUCGAAUCAGGUAGGAAUACCCGCUGAACUUAAGC
rnacentral:misc_RNA from 1 species